CUUACCUUAAGUCAAAUUCAUUUUUAACCAUAAAAUGAAUAUUCCAAGUAACUUUGAUGUGUCAGCAUUUGAAAGCUUCUCUGGCAUGACUGAGCUUUUCAGUGAAAUAAAUUUCCAGAAUUCCACUUGCAAUCAUGGCAGGACCAUCAAACCCCACGACGUAGACACAGACAGCUACAGGGAGUGGCCCUUCCAUUGGUGAUUUCUCCUCUGGCAGCAGGUGCAAAACCCAGGAAUGCUGCCAGCAAGAGUUCCAGGCUCAGGCUGACACCUCCGUGCAGG